rnacentral:rRNA from 1 species
CGGUUGAUCCUGCCGGAGGUCACUGCUAUUGGGAUUCGACUAAGCCAUGCGAGUCGAGAGGGUUCGGCCCUCGGCUGACGGCUCAGUAACACGUGGAUAAUCUGCCCUUAGGUGGAGGAUAAUCUCGGGAAACUGAGGAUAAUACUCCAUAGAUCUAGGAUGCUGGAAUGCAUCUAGAUUGAAAGCUCCGGCGCCUAAGGAUGAGUCUGCGGACUAUCAGGCUGUAGUCAGGGUAAAGACCUGACUAACCUACGACGGAUACGGGUUGUGAGAGCAAUAACCCGGAGACGAUAUCUGAGACACGAUAUCGGGCCCUACGGGGCGCAGCAGGCGCGAAACCUUCACACUGUGCGAAAGCGCGAUGAGGGAAUCCCAAGUGCUUGCACGUAAGUGUAAGCUGUUUUUGUGUAUAAAAAGCAUAGAGAGUAAGAGCUGGGUAAGACGGGUGCCAGCCGCCGCGGUAAUACCUGCAGCUCAAGUGGUGACCACUAUUAUUGGGCCUAAAACGUUCGUAGCCGGUUUAGUAAAUGCCUGGGUAAAUCGAGCCGCUUAACGGUUCGACUUCCGGGUAGACUGCUAAACUUGAGACCGGGAGAGGCUAGAGGUACUCCUGGGGUAGAGGUGAAAUUCUGUAAUCCUGGGGGGACCACCAGUGGCGAAGGCGUCUAGCUAGAACGGGUCUGACGGUGAGGGACGAAGCCCUGGGGCGCAAACCGGAUUAGAUACCCGGGUAGUCCAGGGUGUAAACGCUGCUUGCUUGAUGUUAGUUGGGCUCUGAGCCCGAUUAGUGUCGGAGAGAAGUUGUUAAGCAAGCUGCCUGGGAAGUACGGUCGCAAGGCUGAAACUUAAAGGAAUUGGCGGGGGAGCAC